UUGUUAGCAAGCGCUCAGGAGAGGAGCUACAGCCCACAGAAAACAAGCAGUAAAUCCAACCUUCAGUGAACAAAACAAGAGUGGCAACUUGCAGUAAUACUGUCUGUAUAGCUACAGUAUGCAGUAAGCUAAGGUAUAGGCAGGAUUUGUUGCAGAAAAAUCACUCUUACUGGUUGGAUUACUGUCUUACCUGCUGGGCUGUAGCUCCUCUCCUGAGCGCUUGCUAACAAUCACUCUUGCAGCUAAACUUCAAUUUUGCAUGCAGUCUUGCAUAAAUAGAUCAAGCACAUGGCAGUACAGAAUGCAGUUGCAACUAAAAUGAUCAUUUUCAUGCACAGUUGAUAGUAAAAAUGGGCGUGACAGAAGCACUUCCGUCCCCCAGACUGCUGGAAAAGCUAAUAAAUUCUAAUUAAAUUCCUUCUACGGUUGUGUGGAAAGGACUGAAAGUAAGAAGAAGCAGGUAAAGAAGGCGAGACUUGUGUUGUGCAUCCCCCACACAGGUGAAUUGAUAAUUAAUUAAAUACUUUACAGUACCACUAAAGUUGAGCCACUUAUAGUGCCUAUAGCUAAUCCUAAUCCUGCUUGUAUCAAUAAUAAUUUGUACAUCAAUGAAUAUGAUUUGAUGAAGCUGAAGAAAGGAAAGUUGAAGAAGAGUGUAGGAGGAAUGACGAGAAGCGUAGGAGAGAGCGUAGGAAAAAAGAAGAGAGAGAAGAGGAGCGUAAGAAAGAAGAGGAGCGUAGGAGAGAGAAAGAAAGUAGGAGAGAAGACGAACUUAGGAAAGAGAUUCUGAAGCGAGAGAGAGCUGAGGCACAAACUGUGAAGAGCUUCUGAAGUUGGAGGAAGGCGCAUAUUAAGACGGCGUGGGGGAACUGGGAGGACCAGGACCACCCCGAGCGAUCCGAGCGAUCAGGUGGAGGAGGAUCCUAAGUACACGGAGGAACAAAAAACGUCCUAGACUCAUGGAAACAAUAGACUCAUGGAAACAAGUCUAGGAAACAAGUCUAUAAAACCCACCCUGCUUCUAUAUGUCUGUCUCAACAUAGUCAUCUUCAGAAUUAGAAUGGCACUGCUCUGAUAAUACAAGAUCGUGUACAUCAUCCUCUUCAAGUAGGUGAUUACUCUGUGUAUUCAUACAGUUUACACACUUACAGCCAGGCCCACACCUUCUUUCCUGUUUGAAACAUUUGCAUCGUUUGUUUGUGCAACCAGCAGUCUUGCACUU